rnacentral:rRNA from 1 species
CCCUUAGAUGUUCUGGGCCGCACACGCGCUACACUGAUUCAUGCAACAAGUUUUGUCCUUGGCUGAUAGGCCUGGGUAAUCUUUGAACGUGAAUCGUGAUGGGGAUAGAUGAUUGCAAUUAUUCAUCUUCAACGAGGAAUUCCUAGUAAACGCAAGUCAUCAGCUUGCAUUGAUUACGUCCCUGCCCUUUGUACACACCGCCCGUCGCACCUACCGAUUGAAUGGUCCGGUGAAAUCUUCGGAUCUGAGAGAUGUCUGAUUAAUUUCGGACGCCUUUUGGAAAAGUUGUUUAAACCUUACCAUUUAGAGGAAGGUGAAGUCGUAACA